GAUGAACGCUGGCGGCGUGCCUAACACAUGCAAGUCGAGCGAUCUUCUUCGGAAGAGAGCGGCGGACGGGUGAGUAACGCGUGGGUAACCUGCCUCAUACACAUGGAUAACAUACCGAAAGGUAUGCUAAUACAAGAUGAUAUAAGAGAUUCGCAUGGAUUUCUUAUCAAAGCUCCGGCGGUAUGAGAUGGACCCGCGUCUGAUUAGCUAGUUGGUAAGGUAACGGCUUACCAAGGCGACGAUCAGUAGCCGACCUGAGAGGGUGAUCGGCCACAUUGGAACUGAGACACGGUCCAAACUCCUACGGGAGGCAGCAGUGGGGAAUAUUGCACAAUGGGCGAAAGCCUGAUGCAGCAACGCCGCGUGAGCGAUGAAGGCCUUCGGGUCGUAAAGCUCUGUCCUCAAGGAAGAUAAUGACGGUACUUGAGGAGGAAGCCCCGGCUAACUACGUGCCAGCAGCCGCGGUAAUACGUAGGGGGCUAGCGUUAUCCGGAUUUACUGGGCGUAAAGGGUGCGUAGGUGGUUUCUUAAGUCAGGAGUGAAAGGCUACGGCUCAACCGUAGUAAGCUCUUGAAACUGGGAAACUUGAGUGCAGGAGAGGAAAGUGGAAUUCCUAGUGUAGCGGUGAAAUGCGUAGAUAUUAGG
rnacentral:rRNA from 1 species